rnacentral:ncRNA from 1 species
GAAGUUUCCCUCAGUAUAGCUGGUACAUUUAAAAAUUAUGUAAAAUUAUCUUAUCUGGUAAAGCGAAUGGUUAGAGGCCUUAGGGUCGAAACGACCUUAACCUAUUCUCAAACUUUAAAUGGGUAAGAACCACCCCUUUCUUGGUAUGAAGGUAUGGUUGUGAUUAAUGUGCCAAGUGGGCCAUUUUUAGUAAGCAGAACUGGCGUUGUGGGAUGAACCAAACGUAAUGUUACGGUGCCCUGCCAAUACCAAUUUUGAAACAAUUCCGGUGAAUAAUCUCGCUAAAAUAGUCAAAAUACCGAAUA